UACGGAGGGAGCUAGCGUUGUUCGGAAUUACUGGGCGUAAAGCGCACGUAGGCGGCUAUUCAAGUCGGGGGUGAAAGCCCGGGGCUCAACCCCGGAACUGCCCUCGAAACUAGAUAGCUAGAAUCUUGGAGAGGCGAGUGGAAUUCCGAGUGUAGAGGUGAAAUUCGUAGAUAUUCGGAAGAACACCAGUGGCGAAGGCGACUCGCUGGACAAGUACUGACGCUGAGGUGCGAAAGCGUGGGGAGCAAACAGG
rnacentral:rRNA from 1 species